UACGUAGGGCGCAAGCGUUAUCCGGAAUUAUUGGGCGUAAAGAGCUCGUAGGCGGUUUGUCGCGUCUGCCGUGAAAGUCCGGGGCUCAACUCCGGAUCUGCGGUGGGUACGGGCAGACUAGAGUGAUGUAGGGGAGACUGGAAUUCCUGGUGUAGCGGUGAAAUGCGCAGAUAUCAGGAGGAACACCGAUGGCGAAGGCAGGUCUCUGGGCCAUAACUGACGCUGAGGAAGCGAAAGCAUGGGGAGCGAACAGG
rnacentral:rRNA from 1 species